GGGCGGUUAGCUCAGUGGUAGAGCGCCUGCCUUACAAGCAGGAUGUCAUAAGUUCGACCCUUAUACCGCCCA
rfam:Cyanothece sp. PCC 7424, complete genome.